rnacentral:rRNA from 1 species
GAGUUUGAUCAUGGCUCAGAUUGAACGCUGGCGGCAGGCCUAACACAUGCAAGUCGAGCGGAUGACGGGAGCUUGCUCCUUGAUUCAGCGGCGGACGGGUGAGUAAUGCCUGGGAAUCUGCCUGGUAGUGGGGGACAACGUUUCGAAAGGAACGCUAAUACCGCAUACGUCCUACGGGAGAAAGCAGGGGACCUUCGGGCCUUGCGGCUAUCAGAUGAGCCUAGGUCGGAUUAGCUAGUUGGUGGGGUAAUGGCUCACCAAGGCGACGAUCCGUAACUGGUCUGAGAGGAUGAUCAGUCACACUGGAACUGAGACACGGUCCAGACUCCUACGGGAGGCCAGCAGUGGGGAAUAUUGGACAAUGGGCGAAAGCCUGAUCCAGCCAUGCCGCGUGUGUGAAGAAGGUCUUCGGAUUGUAAAGCACUUUAAGUU